rnacentral:rRNA from 1 species
AACGAACGCUGGCGGCAUGCCUAACACAUGCAAGUCGAACGAUACCUUCGGGUCUUUUUGCGCACGGUUUCGUAACGCGUUGUAACCUUCCCUUAUGUUCGGAAUAACUCCCCGAAUGGGGUGCUAAUACCGGUUAAUUUCUUCUCUCCAAAGAUUUAUCGCCUUUGGUUGGGCCCGCGUUGGAUUAGCUAGUUGGUAGGGUAAAAGCAUACCAAGGCGACGAUCCAUAGCUGGUCUGAGAGGAUGAUAAGCCACACUGGGAGUGAGACACGGCCCAGACUAGUACGGGAGGGAGCAGUGGGGAAUAGAGGAAAAUGGGGGAAAGGAUGAUACAGCAAGGAGGGGAGAGUGAGGAAGGGAUUAGGGAAGUAAAGGAGUAUUAAACGGGAUGAUAAUGACAGUACCGGGAGAAUAAGCACCGGCUAACUACGUG